rnacentral:rRNA from 1 species
AUCGAACGCUGGCGGCAGGCCUAACACAUGCAAGUCGAACGAGUGGCGGACGGGCGAGUAAUGUCUGGGAAACUGCCUGACGGAGGGGGAUAACUGCUGGAAACGGUAGCUAAUACCGCUUACCAUCGUAUGUGCCCAGAUGGGAUUAGCUAGUAGGUGGGGUAAAGGUUCCCCUAGGCGACGAUCCCUAGCUGGUCUGAGAGGGUGACCGGCCACACUGGAACUGAGACACGGUCCAGACUCCUACGGGAGGCAGCAGUGGGGAAUAUUGGACAAUGGGCGAAAGCCUGAUGCAGCAAUGCCGCGUGUAUGAAGAAGGCCUUCGGGUUGUAAAAUACUUUCAGCGGGGAAGCGUUACCCGCAGAGGAAGCACCGGCUAACUCCGUGCCAGCAGCCGCGGUAAUUC